rnacentral:rRNA from 1 species
GACGAACGCUGGCGGCAUGUCUAACACAUGCAAGUCGAACGGGGAUAGCAAUAUCCUAGUGGCGAACGGGUGAGUAACACGUGAGCAACCUGCCUCAUACAACGGGAUACCUACGGGAAACUGUAGUUAAUACGGUAUAAGACCACACUCUGGCAUCGGAGAGGGGUAAAAGAUUUUAUCGGUAUGAGAUGGGCUCGCGGCGCAUUAGCUAGUUGGUACGGUAACGGCGUACCAAGGCGACGAUGCGUAGCCGACCUGAGAGGGUGAUCGGCCACAUUGGGACUGAGAUACGGCCCAAACUCCUACGGGAGGCAGCAGUGGGGAAUAUUGGGCAAUGGGCGAAAGCCUUACCCAGCAAUGCCGCGUGAAUGAAGAAGGUCUUCGGAUUGUAAAGUUCUUUUCUUAGGGACGAAGCAAGUGACGGUACCUAAGGAAUAAGCCAUGGCUAACUACGUGCCAGCAGCCGCGGUAAUACGUAGGUGGCAAGCGUUAUCCGGAUUUACUGGGUGUAAAGGGCGUGUAGGCGGGAUUGCAAGUCAGAUGUGAAAACCACGGGCUCAACCUGUGGCCUGCAUUUGAAACUGUAGUUCUUGAGUACUGGAGAGGCAGACGGAAUUCCUAGUGUAGCGGUGAAAUGCGUAGAUAUUAGGAGGAACACCAGUGGCGAAGGCGGUCUGCUGGACAGCAACUGACGCUGAGGCGCGAAAGCGUGGGGAGCAAACAGG